rnacentral:tRNA from 1 species
GGAGGGAUGGCCGAGUGGUUUAAGGCGGCGGUCUUGAAAACCGCAGACCGAUGAGGUCCGGGGGUUCGAAUCCCUCUCCCUCCGCCA